UAAUUUUACCUCUAAAUUUAAACAUUUAUCAACGCAUCCUAUCACAACCUUUGAUAGAAGAUAUCUCAAAAUUUCCAACCCUUGAAAUAAAGUCCAAAAUUAAAAUACAAAAGGGAAAACUCAUUUUUGUUCACGCUCCACGCUCAGAAACCGCUCAUACAAUCAGAAAAUUCUCUCAAAAUCGAUCUGAGCUCAUCUCAGAAAACUCAAAGAUCGGAGCUUAUCUCCGACGGGCUGAUUUGCGACGACAAGCGAGCCGUUGAUAGACUUAGCACUCUUUGCCACCCCAUUUCCGAUUACAGGGAGGUUGGGUUUCAAGAGUGAACAUGGAAGUGGACAGAGGAAUUCAUUAGUACCAAAGAAAACCUUAGUAAAUCUUGGUUGUGUAUAAACUGCACAAUUUAUAAUCAUAUUGAUUUAUGAGACAUUAUUUGUAUAGUCAAUGGAAAAGAGUAGGCAUUGACAUUAUUUGCCUCAAGCACAUGGGAUGAAGUACCAUCUAGUUCUUCAUGAUGUUCUUAAAUUUGAAAGAGUUUGUUAAUAAGUAAAAACUAA